GUUAAAAGUAGCAGGGCCCAGAUAUGCCUUCGGACUCCAGUGUGAGCCUCGUCCUUGUUUCCAGCUGGAAGGAAGGCACCCUCUUGCCCAAGACAGGACACUGUGCUGCCUGUGGCAAGCACCUGCUGAAUCCUCGAGCCCAGAGCUUCUUCCUGACACUCAGGCCUUUCAAACCCUGACUCUCAGGGCCACUGCUGCAUAGGGUGACAACCGGGCAUGGCACGCAGUGUGGCUGGUGCAGAGGAGGCUCAAGGCUGGCCUGGGAGAGAUUCUUGGUCUAGCUCCCAGCACGGAGCCUUGCUUGUGUCCCAGGGAGGCACUAACCAGAACCAGAAAAGGAAAUCUUUGGCUCUCGGGGAGAAUUAUGCAAAUUAUCUGUCUGGUUCCUGUCUUUGAAAAUGCCCAGAUGUUGGUUUACAAAUCAGGAAGCUGUCUUGGGGCAAUCUCUGUUCUCUCUUUGAUGCAGAGAGCCUUUCUCUGUAAACACUGGAGAGCAGGGCUUCACUGUCUGGCUCCCCUCCCGCCUCUUGCAGGAAGGACUAGAUGCUGCUGAUCAGCUGAUCAUGGCUGAGCAGGGUAGAGCUUGGGGGCUCUCCUAAGAGGUCACCCACUGGGAGGGAGCCUCACAGCUGUUCUUUUGACCCAGAAAGGAGCUCUUUCAGGACCGUGGCACCCAGAGCCGUGGCCCUCCUGCCAUGCCAUUGUUCCCACUUCCCUGCCCUUGGAGUCUUGGUGACAGCUGACUAGCUGCCCUGAGGGGUCCACCACUCUCACCUUCUCAAUGGUGGCUGCUGCCAUCCUCCUGGGCUCUGUGCACAGAAAGCUUUGGUCCUUCUGAAGGCCACUCUGCCCCUUCCUGCAGCACCAGAUCCCCCUGAGCCGGUACCCACCACUGCUGCCUCCAGCUGGGCCAGACUAGUCUUGGUGUUCGCCCUUCUUCCUGCUUCGGAUAGUAGUGAUAUUUGGGAACAUGACUGUGUUUCCCUGGGGUCCUUUCAGAAGAGACUUAGGAAGCUCCUGCUCAGGAAUCUGGCCCUUUGAAAGAGCCCCUUCAAAGCAGCCUGGGCAGCAGGUAACGUGGUUUCCCUUGCGGCCCCCUCCCCCCAGCUGCAUAGACUCGUGGUUUGAAGUGAACAGAUCUUGUCCGGAACACCCUGCGGACUGACCUGCGGGCUUGCUUGCUGACUCCUCUCAAAGGUGAGCCCGCGUUUGGGGGUGCUCCAGGCUCAAGGCUUGGGGUCAGGUCACUUUGGGGGCCUGCAGUUUAGGGAGCUGGGCUGCCCUUAUGCCACUGAGAAGAAAGCAGGAGCAGAGGGAAGGAGCACCUUAUCAGUGAGCAGUUAGUCAUCCGGAAAUGAUUUUCCCUGGGAAGGACAAGAGAUACAAACCAACAUGGACAGUUAUGAAGAACAGGCUCAGAAGAGUUAGGAUCAGUUGGGGAAGAGACCAGUACAAUCUACAUUACUAAAGAAAGUUCAGGAAUAUCCCCUGGGAAUGUGCACUGGCAGGAAAAGGAGCCUGAGCGCUGGGUUUGUGCCUGGCUUGGCCUCAUCCUCGCUCACCUCUGAGUCUCCGCCUCUUCUCUCGUAACGGGGAUAAUCUCACUCCCUGUUGCCAUAAGGACAUUGCACUUACUAAACAGCCAUGGGCAGUGCAUUGUUCCCUGCAAAGUGCUGGUCAGCGAUCAUUUGACCACUGCUUCUUCCCAUGCCGCUUCCAGAUGAAUCUGAGGCCUCCAGGCCAGACUCGAUCCCUCCAUCCCACAGCACUGGGUGCUGACUCCACACAUCCCCCUGGCUUACUGCUGGGUCUGGCCUCCCCAUUUCUCCCCCAGGGGUACCCCGCUUGCUGCCAACCAUCCACCCCUGACCCCCAUCUCACCUGUCCCUUCCAAGUUCUGGGCUGGCAUUUUCCUUUUUCUGGCAAACAAGUAGACAAAACCCCCAUAAAAACCAAAAGCCCAACUCCAUCUCACAGCCAAAGGUUUUGGGGCCUCUUUUCUUCCCCCCUCCCUUUCUCUCUCUCUUGUUUUUGUUUUCUUUUGUUAGGUUUAUUUUAUUUAUUCCAAGUAAACUCCCAGAACAGAACAGCUGAUGAUGUCAGACAAAUCAGGGACAUGCUCUUUUUACCUCCACCUCAAAAACUGAUGACAAGGGGAGAAGAAAGAGCCAGGGGGAGAGCGAGGCAGGGGAGUAGAACCCGCCCAGGCACAUGGCUGCAAAUUCCCCGUGUGCUGUUUGGCUUCUGGGGUCCUGUGUAGACGCCCCAGCCCCGCCUGCCCUCUCGGGAUGCAGCUGCCCUGGGAUGAGCAGCCAGCCCGAUGGAGCACGACUUAUUUCUUACGGUCCACACAGGGACAGAGAGCCCCUGCUCCAGGGAGGAGGCUCACCGGACCCUGGGGCAGAGCUGAGCUUGGGACACCAGCGGGAACAGGGCACCCCUUCUGCACUGACUUCCAGAUCAUGGUUCUCCCUUCCUCCCUGAGGACACCAAAUUGGAUGAGAGCAAGUUUGAGAGAAGAAUGAAUCAACUGCUAUCCUUCCCCUCACCCCUCAGCCCAGGAGGGAAAGGGCAUUUUCUUUUUCAUCUUUGAAAGGCAUUGUGGGUCUGUCUUUAAAGUGUUUACAAAAAAAAAAUUAUAUAAAAAAAGUCUAGUGUCGACUGGUGUUUUCCCUCGUGAUGUUUACAGCUUGCUGUUUGCUGCCCAGCCAUAACCCACUCAGUGACAGACGAACACAGCUAAGCCCUUGCUGCCAGCCUUCUGACGGCGGGCGAACACACAGUCUCUUCCCCUGCCCCAACUGGCCCUCUCCACCACCAACUUCUCUACUUUGGGUUUGUUUGUUUUUUUUCCUCUCUUUUUCUGGCUGGUUUUUUGCUCUUUUCUCCCCUUGAGACCCUAAUAUCUUGACUUCAUUGCCAAAAAACAACCCAUUGAGAACUUUGUUCCUACUGAUCCCAUCUCUUUUCCCUUUUUUCCUCCUGGUUCCGGUCAGUUCAGAGGAUUUAACAAUCACAAGUGUCCUGCAAAAAUGCCUGAACAUUAUUCUUAGGCCCUCGUGGAUUUUUUUUUUCCAGAAAACUUAAACAAAAAAAGACUUACUAAGAAAUAUGUACAGCUACCCCUGUUUUCAGGCACUAUGUUUGAGAACAUUUUAGCCAUUUGAUGUUCACACGUGGCAUCAGCCCAUGCAAGAUAGGUUUCUGUAUUUAUAUAUUAAAAUACAAAAAAAACUUAUAAAAUGUUUAAAAAAAUGUUCAAAGCUUGGGAGAAAAGCUUUCUUCAUUAGUCAAGGUGUUUUGAUAUGGUAUUAAAAUGUCUAAUAAAAGAUGGCACUGUGUGAUUUUAUUUUAAUGAAGUGUUGUUAUACAAUCAAGAAAUGGGGGCAAGGGCCUGCCCCCCACUCCCUCACCUACCUCCUUAGCAUUCCUUCAGGCUGCUACUCGGGGCUCCAGGUGUGUGAAUUGGUCCUCAGACAGUCAGGCCUGGGUGGAGGGAGAGUGGCAAGUCAGGCGUGCCUCCUACAAGCUUCCUAACCUCUUAAGCAUCAUGGAACCAGUCAGCCCUCCUCUGUGGAGUCAUUGUGCCGGACCUCUGAAAAGCUCUGCAGGGGCCAAGAUGUUGCAGCCACCGGAGGCUGCAAGGAUGUGGGUUCUUCCAGGUGUGGGCCCAGUCCCCCUCCUUCCAGCCUUUGCUCCCCAUCCCACGUUCCACUCGCCCUGCCUGUUGUUCAGUUUGCGUCUCAGUGCUGACUCACGGGCAUGCUUCAUUGAGGCCCAGGAAGAGGCCCUGGUUUGGGGCUGUGCCAGCUCAGAGCCCUUGAACCAGAACCAACUGCUCAGGCUCACAAAAGUUGGCAAAAUGCGGGCUGGGCGGGCAGCUCGGGGCAGGGAGCAGCAGUGCAGGCCUGGCCUGUGUCCCCGUGCCCAGCGGGCUCCCGGAGCAGCAUUCCAGAGCCUCCUGCAGAGCCAGCGAAGGAAAGCUCUGGAGGGAGACGACUCCACCACCUCUCUGCUCUGACCCUUCUCAGGCCCGCCUGAUGUGCUGGACCAUCCCCCUGCUGCCACAGCCCCUGGCUCCGCAGUCACCCUCCAUCAGAUGCUUCCAGAAGCACCUACUCUGUGCAAGGGCGUUCACAACAGGCCAGUGGGCAAACGUGAGCCAGGGCCAGCGGAGAAACUCUAAAGAAGACUCGGUGGUUCAGAGCCUGGGCCUCAGCGCGGGACCCGUCUGGGGUGAAGACCUUGGGGCUAUUGUGAGUCGGCGGCAGGAACGUGGGCUCUAGACUGUGCAUUCAGGCUCUCCUACUUGGCAGAAUAAUCUUGGGGAAACGACUUCAUCUGAACUUCAGAUUUUUCACAUGUGAAGCGGGGACGAAACCGUGCAGCUCAGAGGUCCCUGUGGGGGCCAGGGCAGCUGCCCUGCAGGUCCUGGCACAUGCACAGCAGGCUCCCCAUAGCUUUGUCACCACAAAGGGCACUGUUCUAUUCACAGCACCUCCUGCUUCUGCCUGGCAACUGUGUCUCCCUGUGCUAUAUUUAAUUCCACCAGCAAAGCUGGCGAGGCAGGGCCCAGCCCUGACGGAGAUCUCCUUGCCUGACCCCUGGACCUGGAAAUGGAGGCUUCAUGUGCCCACCUUGGCGGCGUAAGCCUGCUGCUUUGGCAGUGCCACGGGUGAGCCGAGCAGCUGUGAGUUGGGUGGGGCAGGGCUGUAGCCCACGCCGGGUGCUAUUCCAGGCUCUAGGGGCUGGUGCUCAUCCCCACCCCCAGCGACUUCAGUCCUACCUGGCACGCUGCAGCCCUCUGCCGGCUGCGGUGUCCUCUGAAUUCGGACCUAGGUUGCCUGCUUUUGUUGUGGGGGUGGGAUUGGGGCUGUCUGUGCUUCCCAGGUGGAGCUCGUGUUUGCGAUGCUCUAUCCGGACAGCUCUCCAGAAUCCUGUGUUGCCCCUGUUCUGCCUUUCUGGGAUGGGAGAGAACGUGAGGGAGCCGGCAAGCAGGUUCUACCCUCUCUGCUAAGGGCCUAGCACACUUUGUUGAGGUUCCUGGACAUGAGACCCUCACAAAGACCAACCAUUCCUCUAAUAGCCAUUUAAUGGCACUGAGGUUCAUGGGAAAAUGUCCUCAUUCUUAGGAGAUAGAUGCUGGAUUAUAUAGGUGAAUGCCUUCAAGAAAUGUGUAAUUUAAUUCCAAAUGGUUCCCCCCAAAAUACACAAAGCAAAUAAGGCCAAAAUGUUCAUUGUUGAAUCUGCAGUGGCUGGUAUUUCAGUGAACAGUGUGCUUGUUCUUUCAACUUUUCUGUAUGUUUGGAAGUUUUCUUAAUAAAAGAUUGUGGGAAAUGGUCA
rnacentral:sRNA from 1 species